rnacentral:rRNA from 1 species
CCCUUGAGGCGUGGCUUCCGGAGCUAACGCGUUAAAUCGACCGCCUGGGGAGUACGGCCGCAAGGUUAAAACUCAAAUGAAUUGACGGGGGCCCGCACAAGCGGUGGAGCAUGUGGUUUAAUUCGAUGCAACGCGAAGAACCUUACCUACUCUUGACAUCCAGAGAACUUUCCAGAGAUGGAUUGGUGCCUUCGGGAACUCUGAGACAGGUGCUGCAUGGCUGUCGUCAGCUCGUGUUGUGAAAUGUUGGGUUAAGUCCCGCAACGAGCGCAACCCUUAUCCUUUGUUGCCAGCGGUUCGGCCGGGAACUCAAAGGAGACUGCCAGUGAUAAACUGGAGGAAGGUGGGGAUGACGUCAAGUCAUCAUGGCCCUUACGAGUAGGGCUACACACGUGCUACAAUGGCAUAUACAAAGAGAAGCGACCUCGCGAGAGCAAGCGGACCUCAUAAAGUAUGUCGUAGUCCGGAUUGGAGUCUGCAACUCGACUCCAUGAAGUCGGAAUCGCUAGUAAUCGUAGAUCAGAAUGCUACGGUGAAUACGUUCCCGGGCCUUGUACACACCGCCCGUCACACCAUGGGAGUGGGUUGCAAAAGAAGUAGGUAGCUUAACCUUCGGGAGGGCGCUUACCACUUUGUGAUUCAUGACUGGGGUGAAGUCGUAACAAGGUUAACCGUCACC